CUCAAAUCUUUUCAGAAACAUAUCUGACUGUGCUGUUGAUUUGUAAUAGGUCAACGUGGGUGACCAGGUGCUGUGUUAUCCAGCUGUGUGGAGAGUGACAGACAAACUCAAGUCUGCAUAUCACCUGGAGUCAGCUGAUGGAUCACGGGCUCAAGUUUUUGUGGUGAGACCAGGACGUUGUAUUUGCUUUUAUAGUAACCACAAUUAUAAUGCAUUACAGAUUUUAA
rnacentral:lncRNA from 1 species